ACUCUAAAAGCUUUAUAGAAGCAGUGGUCUUGUAAACCAAAGAAGGAAAAAUCCUUAGAGUU
rnacentral:tRNA from 1 species